rnacentral:tRNA from 5 species
GGGCACUUAGCUCAGUGGCAGAGCGCUGCACUCACAUUGCAGAGGUCGCUGGUUCAAAUCCAGCAGUGCCCA